GACGAACGCUGGCGGCGUGCCUAAUACAUGCAAGUAGAACGCUGAAGGAGGAGCUUGCUUCUCUGGAUGAGUUGCGAACGGGUGAGUAACGCGUAGGUAACCUGCCUGGUAGCGGGGGAUAACUAUUGGAAACGAUAGCUAAUACCGCAUAAGAGUAGAUGUUGCAUGACAUUUGCUUAAAAGGUGCAAAUGCAUCACUACCAGAUGGACCUGCGUUGUAUUAGCUAGUUGGUGAGGUAACGGCUCACCAAGGCAACGAUACAUAGCCGACCUGAGAGGGUGAUCGGCCACACUGGGACUGAGACACGGCCCAGACUCCUACGGGAGGCAGCAGUAGGGAAUCUUCGGCAAUGGACGGAAGUCUGACCGAGCAACGCCGCGUGAGUGAAGAAGGUUUUCGGAUCGUAAAGCUCUGUUGUAAGAGAAGAACGAGUGUGAGAGUGGAAAGUUCACACUGUGACGUAUCUACC
rnacentral:rRNA from 1 species